GCGGAUUUGUUAGUCAGGGGUGAAAUCCCGGGGCUCAACCUCGGAACUGCCUUUGAUACUGCAAGUCUCGAGUCCGAUAGAGGUGGGUGGAAUUCCUAGUGUAGAGGUGAAAUUCGUAGAUAUUAGGAAGAACACCGGUGGCGAAGGCGGCCCACUGGAUCGGUACUGACGCUGAGGUGCGAAAGCGUGGGGAGCAAACAAG
rnacentral:rRNA from 1 species